ACCUGCGGAGGGAUCAUUACACAAAUAUGAAGGCGGGCUGGAACCUCUCGGGGGUUACAGCCUUGCUGAAUUAUUCACCCUUGUCUUUUGCGUACUUCUUGUUUCCUUGGUGGGUUCGCCCACCACUAGGACAAACAUAAACCUUUUGUAAUUGCAAUCAGCGUCAGUAACAAAUUAAUAAUUACAACUUUCAACAACGGAUCUCUUGGUUCUGGCAUCGAUGAAGAACGCAGCGAAAUGCGAUAAGUAGUGUGAAUUGCAGAAUUCAGUGAAUCAUCGAAUCUUUGAACGCACAUUGCGCCCUUUGGUAUUCCAAAGGGCAUGCCUGUUCGAGCGUCAUUUGUACCCUCAAGCUUUGCUUGGUGUUGGGCGUCUUGUCUCUAGCUUUGCUGGAGACUCGCCUUAAAGUAAUUGGCAGCCGGCCUACUGGUUUCGGAGCGCAGCACAAGUCGCACUCUCUAUCAGCAAAGGUCUAGCAUCCAUUAAGCCUUUUUUCAACUUUUGACCUCGGAUCAGGUAGGGAUACCCGCUGAACUUAAGCAUAUCAAUA
rnacentral:rRNA from 1 species